GAUUUAUACAGAAGAGGCGAGAGACCAGGCUCUGCGACCCUCUGGCAACCAUUCGAGACAGCGAAAAGGUGCCAAUACCUGCCCAAAAAAAUUGAGGGAACUAUAAAUU
rnacentral:ncRNA from 2 species